CUCGUGCGUCACGACGCCGCCAGCUGAUCGGAGCCUGGAGCCGGUGUGUGCUGGGUGCCGAGAAGAGACAGCGCCGCCGGCCGUGGGGAGCGGACGCAGUGAUUUGCUCCCCCUCGUGCAGCAACCCCCACACCCAGCACCAGGAGCCUGUUCCUCUCACGCCCUCACCUGGCUGAGCCGCAGUAGUUCUUCAGUGGCAAGCUUUAUGUCCUGACCCAGCUAAAGCUGCCAGUUGAAGAACUGUUGCCCUCUGCCCCUGGCUUCGAGGAGGAGGAGGAGCUGCUUUCCCCAUCAUCUGGAAGGUGACAGAAAUGGGCUGGGAAGGUCCGAACAGCAGGGUGGAUGAUACGUUUUGGGCAAGUUGGAGAGCCUUUGCCCAGAUUGGCCCAGCAAGGAGCGGUUUUAGAUUAGAGACACUGGCUGGAUUGAGGAGUAGAAGGCUCAAACAACCCAAGGAAGCUGUGUCUGUUCGAUUUGGUGGGAGGAGAUGUGCAGGGAGCUGUAUCUUGUCCUCCGCUUGUGAAAAACUCAAGGAUGUGGAGAAGAGUAGACCGUGGAACCCUGCUCUUCUGCAGCCAAGCUGAGGGGCAGGAUGCGUGUGGGACAGUGGUAGAGAAGCAGGGGAUAGACUCAUAGGCUGCAACAAAGGUGACUCUGUCCCUGGACACUGCCUCCGUACUUUCUCCUUGCUUCACUGGCCACAGCAUCUCCCUCCAGCCCUCGCUAUGUGCCUCUGCCAUCUUCACCCAUCAUGGAGCAGAGGUGAGGAGAGGCAGCCUGGGAAUAUGGAGACCAGUGAAGGACCAGGCCUGGAGAGCACAGGGUCCUACCUGGGCAUCCAGCAGAGGAGCCCCUAAAGGCCAGGAGCACCCCAAGAGGAGGGAGGGCAGCCAGCCUCCAUUGACGGCGAGCCUCCAGCCCUCUCCUACUUUGAUCACCAUUUCUCUCCAGGCUUUCUGCCUCCGAGAUGUGGCACCAUAGUGCGGUGCCCUGUGGCUUCACCGCCCUACUUCCACCUCCGCCCAGCCUGUAAUGUUUAUAUAAGCAGCCUCAAGGACCAAGAACCAUCUGCGAAAGGACACACACAGGAAAUUCAUAAAAGAAAUCUGAAUGGAUAAAACCAUGAAAAAAAGUAUGCUUCAUUAGUAAUUAAAGAAAGGCAAAUAGAGCUGGAAGCAUUUUUCCCUUAGCAAACCAUAACAGAAAAAAAUAAGACCCAAUAUUGGCAAAGAGACUACUGAAAAAACAUUCCCAUACAUUGCGUGUGGGAGUAUACAUCGGUGCAGGCUUCCUGGAUGACAGUUGGGUGAUAUGUGUCAUGUGGCCUAAAAGCCUCCAUGUCAUUUGACCUACGAAUUCUAUCUUUGGGAAUUUAUCCUAAGAAAAUACUUAAGGAUUUAGUUAGUGAUAAGAUGUUCAUCCCAGCAUUGCAAUGGAGAAAAAUGGGAAGCAAUGGUUUGGUUGGGAAUUUAUUCCUUUUCUGCUGUAACGAAAGUUUGCAAUAGGGGAUUGCUUAAGUAAAUUAUUGUAUCUCCAUCCAGAUGGUGGAGUACCGCGCAGACAUUAAAAGUCAUGUAAAAGAACAUCUGACUGAAAGAAAAAUGCUCCUUGAAUAUUAAAAGGUUGUAAAAAUAGUGCAUGUUAUGUGAUUUCAAUUUUGUUUUUUAAAAUAUGGGUGUAUGCUUGUAUACGUAGAGCAGAUAAAAAAGACGGAAGGCAUACUAAAAAAUGUUGAGUGGUUAUCUUUGUAUGGUGGAACAAAGUCACUGUAAUUUUCAUCUUUGGUUUUUCUGUAAUUUCCAAAUUUUCCACAUUUUGUAUUUCAUAUAAUAUAAUUUAAGAGAUCAAAAAA
rnacentral:lncRNA from 1 species